UACGUUCCCGGGCCUUGUACACACCGCCCGUCACACCACGAAAGUUGGCAACACCCGAAGUCAGUGGCCCGAACCCCUCGGGGAGGGAGCUGCCGAAGGUGGGGUUAGCGAGUUGGGGUG
rnacentral:rRNA from 1 species